GAAAAUGAAACUGGCCUCGGAUGAACGCUAGCGGGAGGCCUAACACAUGCAAGCCGAGCGGUAGAGUAUCUUCGGAUACUUGAGAGCGGCGUACGGGUGCGGAACACGUGUGCAACCUGCCUUUAUCUGAGGGAUAGCCUUUCGAAAGGGAGAUUAAUACCUCAUAAUAUACUGAUUGGCAUCAAUUGGUAUUGAAAGCUCCGGCGGAUAGAGAUGGGCACGCGCAAGAUUAGAUAGUUGGUGAGGUAACGGCUCACCAAGUCAAUGAUCUUUAGGGGGCCUGAGAGGGUGAUCCCCCACACUGGUACUGAGACACGGACCAGACUCCUACGGGAGGCAGCAGUGAGGAAUAUUGGACAAUGGGUGCAAGCCUGAUCCAGCCAUCCCGCGUGAAGGACGACGGCCCUAUGGGUUGUAAACUUCUUUUGUACAGGGAUAAACCUACCCUCGUGAGGGUAGCUGAAGGUACUGUACGAAUAAGCACCGGCUAACUCCGUGCCAGCCGCCGCGGUAAUU
rnacentral:rRNA from 1 species